rnacentral:tRNA from 1 species
UUCAUUUUGGCAGAUUAGUGCAUUGAAUUUAGAAUUCAAAUAAAUAAUAUUAUUAUAUAUGAAA